GUUUCUUGUGCGACGCUCUUUGUUCAUUUACGUUUUGUGCCGGGUUCCUUCUUGCUCAGUAAUGGAAUGAUUUAUCCUAGCAAAUUGUUGAGUUACAGGUGUGUGCGCUAUUUAUCAACGACUACCUGCUAGCCUCGUCAACAAUCUUCGAAGUGAGCGACGGAAAGAAAACGUUUUCCAGUUUUAAAAUAUUAAGCCCCCGGUGAGGACGUCAUUACUUAACAGAAGCCGGUUCAACACGCGCAGCUCCUGUUCAUGACGUCAUCACUAAACUGAAGCCAGCUGAACACGCGCAGCACGGAUGGUACCCCGAGCGCGGUAGGAGGAAGGAAGAACGAGAGGAGGAAGAACGGUAAAUUUGGAAGGGGGAAAGCGUUCUGCGGUCUACACAGCGGGAGUAUGCCAAAACACUUGUGGGAAGGGAGAGGGAUAUUAUUCAAUAAACAGCAUGCGAAUGUGUGCAUAAAGCAAAUGUGAACAGCCUCAU